UACAGAGGUCCCGAGCGUUGUUCGGAUUCACUGGGCGUAAAGGGUGCGUAGGCGGCUUGAAAAGUUUGAUGUGAAAGCUCAGGGCUUAACCCUGAAAUGGCAUUGAAUACUGUCGAGCUGGAGGUUUGGAGGGGGGACUGGAAUUCUUGGUGUAGCAGUGAAAUGCGUAGAUAUCAAGAGGAACACCAGUGGCGAAGGCGAGUCCCUGGACAACACCUGACACUGAGGCACGAAAGCUAGGGGAGCAAACAGG
rnacentral:rRNA from 1 species